rnacentral:lncRNA from 1 species
UGUUAACUAACUAUUUAAUUUCUUCAACAAACAUUGAGUAUUUUUUUUCCUUAAAUUUUGCUUUGCUUUGCAGCCCUAGGGUGGUCCCAACCAUGUGAUGUCUGGAGCAUAGGAUGCAUUCUUAUUGAAUACUAUCUUGGGUUUACCGUAUUUCCAACACACGAUAGUAAGGAGCAUUUAGCAAUGAUGGAAAGGAUUCUUGGACCUCUACCAAAACAUAUGAUACAGAAAACCAGGAAACGUAAAUAUUUUCACCAUGAUCGAUUAGACUGGGAUGAACACAGUUCUGCCGGCAGAUAUGUUUCAAGACGCUGUAAACCUCUGAAGGAAUUUAUGCUUUCUCAAGAUGUUGAACAUGAGCGUCUCUUUGACCUCAUUCAGAAAAUGUUGGAGUAUGAUCCAGCCAAAAGAAUUACUCUCAGAGAAGCCUUAAAGCAUCCUUUCUUUGACCUUCUGAAGAAAAGUAUAUAGAUCUGUAAUUGGACAGCUCUCUCGAAGAGAUCUUACAGACUGUAUCAGUCUAAUUUUUAAAUUUUAAGUUAUUUUGUACAGCUUUGUAAAUUCUUAACAUUUUUAUAUUGCCAUGUUUAUUUUGUUUGGGUAAUUUGGUUCGUUAAGUACAUAGCUAAGGUAAUGAACAUCUUUUUCAGUAAUUGUAAAGUGAUUUAUUCAGAAUAAAUUUUUUGUGCUUAUG